rnacentral:rRNA from 1 species
UUGACCUCGGAUCAGGUAGGGAUACCCGCUGAACUUAAGCAUAUCAUUAAGCGGAGGA